rnacentral:rRNA from 1 species
GGUNAUACUANGGGGCCAGCNUNUCNGAUUUAUUGGUGUAAAGGAGCGUAGACNGCNAAGCNANUNUGAAGUNAAGCCCCGGGCUCAACCCCGGAAUUGCUUUGGAAACUGUUUAGCUAGAGUGCAGGAGAGGUAAGCGGAAUUCCUAGUGUAGCGGUGAAAUGCGUAGAUAUUAGGAGGAAUACCGGUGGCGAAGGCGACUUUCUGGACUUAAACUGACGCUGAGGCACGAAAGUGUGGGGAGCAAACAGGAUUAGAUACCCUGGUAGUCCACACCGUAAACGAUGAGUGCUAGGUGUCGGGGGUCAAACCUCGGUGCCGCAGCUAACGCAUUAAGCACUCCGCCUGGGGAGUACGUACGCAAGUAUGAAACUCAAAGGAAUUGACGGGGACCCGCACAAGCAGCGGAGCAUGUGGUUUAAUUCG